rnacentral:rRNA from 1 species
UACAGAGGUCUCAAGCGUUGUUCGGAUUCAUUGGGCGUAAAGGGUGCGUAGGUGGCGCCGUAAGUCGGGUGUGAAAUUUCGGAGCUUAACUCCGAAACUGCAUUCGAUACUGCGGUGCUUGAGGACUUGGAGAGGAGACUGGAAUUCAUGGUGUAGCAGUGAAAUGCGUAGAGAUCAUGAGGAAGACCAGUGGCGAAGGCGGGUCUCUGGACAAGUUCCGUGACACUGGAGGCACGAAGGCCAGGGGAGCAAACGGG